rnacentral:rRNA from 1 species
GGGUCUGGCCCUGCGGAGGUUCGUCCUUCGUUGAGUGCUGACUCUUAUUAGCUGGGCAUCUCUUGUGGGUCAAGUUGUAGCAUGGGAAUUUAUUCUUGUGUUAUGGCUCCACAUCUUUUACUUUGAAAAAAUUAGAGUGUUUCAAGCAGGCUUUAUGCUAUGAAUACAUUAGCAUGGAAUAAUAAUUUAGGACUUCGGUUCUAUUUUGUUGGUUUCUAGGACUGAAGUAAUGAUUGAUAGGGAUAGUUGGGGGUGCUAGUAUUCAGCGGCCAGAGGUGAAAUUCUCGGAUUCGCUGAAGACUAACUUAUGCGAAAGCAUU